AGUGAACGCUGGCGGUAGGCCUAACACAUGCAAGUCGAACGGCAGCACAGAGGAGCUUGCUCCUUGGGUGGCGAGUGGCGGACGGGUGAGGAAUACAUCGGAAUCUACUCUGUUGUGGGGGAUAACGUAGGGAAACUUACGCUAAUACCGCAUACGACCUACGGGUGAAAGCAGGGGAUCUUCGGACCUUGCGCGAUUGAAUGAGCCGAUGUCGGAUUAGCUAGUUGGCGGGGUAAAGGCCCACCAAGGCGACGAUCCGUAGCUGGUCUGAGAGGACGAUCAGCCACACUGGAACUGAGACACGGUCCAGACUCCUACGGGAGGCAGCAGUGGGGAAUAUUGGACAAUGGGCGCAAGCCUGAUCCAGCCAUACCGCGUGGGUGAAGAAGGCCUUCGGGUUGUAAAGCCCUUUUGUUGGGAAAGAAAUCCAUCUGGUUAAUACCCGGGUGGGAUGACGGUACCCAAAGAAUAAGCACCGGCUAACCUCGUGCCAGCCGCCGCCGUAA
rnacentral:rRNA from 1 species